UGAAACGCAAGCAGAUGCUUCCAAUGUAUACAUCCGGUCAAAUAUCUGUAUCGUUGUUCUGUGCGUAAUUUAGCAUGCCAUCAUGCUGGGCAAGCUAGUGAUUUGAAGUCAGUACUCUAUAUAUAAAAAGCCAGUUCAAUGUAUUGAUGUUGCUAGAGAUGAAUGUGACAGAGCGCUACAUGGCUCUGCCGGUAGAGGGCGGCAUGACGGCACCGGACGAGCCCCUGGUCUCCCUGCUGCUGCGACAUCACAGGCUAACUGGAGAGGCAGAUGCUGUGAGGUGGAUCAGACCAGGUUCCUCUCCAGGUUCCUCUCCAGGUUCCUCUCCAGGUUCCUCUCCAGGUUCCUCAGCUCAGUGGGAUGAGGUAGUAGGUUGGAUAGUUUUAGGGUCACACCCACACUGGGAGAUAACUGUACAACCUACUGUCUUUCUCAAUGUGUCAAUCACCAAGGAUACUACAGUCAAUCUCCUCUUAUGGUCAUUGUAAAAGAUUCUAUUCUGAUCGUAUUUGCUGUGGUGUUUUGAGAACGAACAGGAAGAAAUCAUCAAGGUACAUCGUCAACAUUAUGAAGUCAUUGUCUAUCUGCUGAGGCGUUGUGAGGUAGUAGAUUGUAUUGUUGUGGGGUAGUGAUUUUACCCUGAUCAGAAGAUAACUAUACAAUCUAUUGCCUUCCCUGACCAGCAGAACAACUACUCUCAGACAUCCAUGUUUUUCUGUUCUCUGUUAUGACCAUAGCCUCCAUUCAUAUCCACACUAGAACAACCUUUCAGAAGCUCUAGAGUUGUCUAUCUUGGGGUUAGGGGUUAGGGUUAGGGGUUAGGGGGGUUAAGGGUUA